rfam:Vigna angularis cultivar Jingnong 6 scaffold866_1, whole genome shotgun sequence.
AGGUGCGAUCAUACCAGCACUAAUGCACCGGAUCCCAUCAGAACUCCGCAGUUAAGCGGGCUUGGGCGAGAGUAGAACUAGGAUGGGUGACCUCCUGGGAAGUCCUCGUGUUGCACCUC